CAUGAAUUGACUGAGUACAUAUCAAGUCUUACACUGUAUACUUCACAUGCAGUAACUCUCCUACUCUUCACAACAAGCAUGCAAGGUGGGAAAAUAGAGGCUGAGAGAAAUCGAGUAACUUGCCUCAAGCCAUAUAUUCGGCACCAAGAUGUGAUCUGAGCCAGAGCCAAGAACUGAGGUCCAAACAGCGUGCCUUGUGCAAGGCCACACAGGAGAUAAUGGCACUGGCUGUACCAGUGGCCCAGAUCCUUCACUUGCAGAAGAGCUUCCCAGAGAGGAGCAAGCGCUCCUGCCAUCACCUCUGGUGUCAUCCUAUAGGAUAUUAAAACCAACUCAAGAUUGUGUUGAAAACUGUUUUCCUUUUGAGGAUGCUAAUAAGAACAAGAUCAUAUCAAUGGGUAUGGAUCAUGGCAGGAUUUUCCUUCAGCUGAGUCUUUUAAUGAGCCGUUUCAUAAUGAGGGCUGAAUCUAUACACAGUAUCUGCAUGCU
rnacentral:lncRNA from 1 species